CCCGUUAGCACCUUCCUCAAUCACUUCGGCUUCCUUGAACUUCCUCGAACUUGAGUCGUACCUUUUCCUCUUCGCCUCGGUUCUACGAGGUAACGUCGAGUUGAAUCAAUGAAACCCAUUACCUCUUCUUAAAUGAGUCUUUCCUCCGAUCAAUUUCACAAGUGAGUUUCAUAGUCCGUCUGUCUGCUAACGUUUUUUCAAGAGUUCUCCAGAAAAGAUCCAAAAAUGAAUGGUUAAUUUCCAGAUUCCAUUUUCAGAAUUGAAGGAAGGUCAUUGCUGAGAAAAGGGGUAAGUUCAUGGGUGUUGACAUGGUUCUGAUUGACGGGAAGGUUAUCUGAUUCUCUUUAAUCUCUUAUAAGUUACUUUAAUCCAUGAUUUUAUUUUAAUCCUUCACCAUCUAGAUUCAAACACCUGCUCAAACAAGGAUCCCUUUUAUGAGCUAACUGUUUUUUAUGUCACCAGGAGCAUCCAAAACUUCAGAUUCGCUGAUGCCCCUGUUUCAAUCAGAUUCAUAGAGCAAACAAGUUUCAUAAUUUCGACCAGCUAUUGUCACUGGCUAACCCAAACACUGAAUUGCCAGUUAGACACUUCAUAAUUUAUUUCAUCCUCUAAAAUCUGCCAUUAAUCCUUAUGUUCCUCUGCAGAUAUCAUUGGGGGGAGGUGCGGGGCAUAAGGACCACUUAGACCGAGAAACCCAAUCCACUCGACGCCUCAUGGCUGAAGCCUGAACUCAUUACUUGCUUCACAUAGAUCCCCUUAGCGGUUUGGUUGUUGUCGUCUGACCUUACGUCGUUUACAUGACAUCUAGCUUACAUCUUCAGGGAUGGACCCGCAUGCAUAAGUGUAUUCGACAACCUUGCGGAGCUCCUCGAUAAGGAAUUAGUAAUGUCAGGUGUGGAACCAAAGGUUUCUGUAGCCACCAAUAUCAACCCUAAAUUAGUUGGAGAGUUGGUCACCACAAGGUUGGUCUCAGUAGGAAGGUUCAUCCUCAACGUCUACAAAAUAUGGUGAUGUUAAGAAGAUCGAAACGUUAACACUGUCUGAGCUAAAUGCUUAUAUCACAUCUCCCUCACAGGUGACCACUUUCACGUAACCCAUCCGUUAGUGCGUUUCUUGACCGACAAUUACUUUCACUUUUGUUGGUGCCUUUUCCAAAGUGUCCCUGAGAUAAAGAGCAAACGACGAAAGAAAGCUUUCUAUUACAUGGUAUCUCACCAGAAUCAAUCUUUUUUGGACCGUAUUGCAAUGAUGAAAGCAAGAUGAUCGUUGUGUAUGAGUAUAUGAAAAAAGGAACGCUUAAAGACCAUAUGUAUGACUCGGAUAAUCCUAGGUUGAGCUGGAGACAGAAGCUUGAGAUAUGCGCUAAGGGGCUUCACUAUCUCCAUACAGGUUCGCAAGAGCCAUUAUACACUGCGUGUGAAGUCUGCUUCAGGUAAACAUUUAGGACCAACUCUUCUUCUAUAGAACCUGUGUACAGGCCAUUGAAGCUCUCGACCUGAACCACAAACUGGUAGUUUACUAGAAUCACAAGAAGCAAACUCAAUCUGAAUAGAAAGACAACUUCAUAUCAUCAAACUGAUCCGUGGUUUGAGCAAAUUUGAUGUAACAAAAGCUCCAAGAGCAACUCCGAGACAACAAGAGUGACUACCUUUUGGAUAGAUAGAGAACAUUUCUUUCUUUCAUUUCUUUUUUUGUUGCAUUCAUCCAGAGUCUUUUGUUCUUUUUAUUCUCAGCAAAAUUUUCAGUAAACAAAUAACCUACCUUAGCGUUUAUAAAAGUAUAACUAGGAACAAUAAAUGUUCGAUUCUUUCGCUAAUGCCAUCUGAUAAUAAUACAAAAGAAUUUCAAUCCUUUGUAUUGCUCAAUGUGUAAACUAAAGAAUUUAACCAAAUUUGAGUGUUUUCAAAAACUGAGAUACAAGUUUAUUCUGUAACAACUUCCUUGGUCGGGACCAUAUUAUCUCAUUUGUCCUGCUCUUGGCUGGGAGGUCGGGAUAAUGCUUCUUUCUUCGCAAAGCAGUUGCUGGAGCUUUGUUAGCGUAAAUCCUGGGCCCUUUCGAGGAAAUUUUUAUGGGAACGUUCUUAAGGGUACGUUUUGGGUGCUGUACUGGAGACUUUGUUCAAAGCAUUUGAUGGGAAAUGAUCUUUUGGUAACGACUGAAAACACAAGACACAAGAUUUGUUAAUGGUCUCUAACCAGACACAUGUUAUUAAGAUGGUGAAAGGAAGUAUUGGUUAUCUCGAAUAUUAAAUGUAUUUUAAGUGUCUGGUUCAGAAAUAACACACAAGAUUUGUUAAUGGUCUCGAACCAGACACAUGUUAUUUCUGA